ensembl:piRNA 21ur-13617 ncRNA
UAAUCCAGCAGAAAGCAAAAA